AGGCCUUUGGGGUUGAUAAAAGACACUAUGGGCCCCUAGAUGUUUGUCUAGGGGAAGGCCUUUCGAAUCGGCAUCUGGCCCGGCCUUUUACUAUAAAGGCAGCUCACCUGGACAAAAGCCCCUUCGUCCGGCCAGCUUGGAUGAGCACAAGCUCACCCUUUAUUACUUAUUCUCGUUCCUAUUCCCGUAGGUCCUAACAGAGCAAUACCACGUGGAGGUAAAAGGCCCACAAAUCGUGAACUUCUUUUGCCGGAGAAGAAGCAAUGACAGUAUCUGAGGAGUAAGUAUCGGCUAACUUUGUGCCAACAGUCGUGGUAAGACAUAGGAUGUAAGCAUUAUCCAGAAUGAUAGGGUGUAAAGCGUAUGUAGGUGUGGCCUUUCAAGUCUGCCGUCAAAUCCCAGGGCUCAACCUUGGAUAGGCGGUGGAAACUACCAAGCUGGAGUACAGUAGGGACAAAGGGAAAUUUCAAUGGAAUGAUGAAAUGUGUAGAUAUCGGAAAGAACACCAACAGCGAAAGCACUGUGCUGGGGCGACACUGAUACUGAGAAACGAAAGCUAGGGGAGUGAAUGGGAUUAGAUACACCAAUAGUCCCAACCGUAAAUGAUGGAUACUAGGCAUUGUGCAUAUUGACCGGUGCAGUGUUGUAGCUAACGCGUUAAGUAUCCCACUUGGGGAAUCCUUGAUGAUUGAAUGAACCAAUAUCUUU
rnacentral:ncRNA from 1 species